CUAUAGGGACAACAUAUAUCAUACAAACCACUUAAAAGAAACUGUUAAUUGUUAUAACCUACAAGGUAAACUACAAUGGACAUUUCAUAACGAAAGCAUUCUGAGGUGUCCUCAUGGUAUUGAUGUAGAUAAUGAUGGUAAUGUGUACGUGGUGGGGUACAAAUCGAACAACGUUGUAGUUAUUUCCCCUGAUGGUCAACAACAUAGAGAAAUAUUGACAACAAGUGAUGGUCUUAGUAGUCCUGUGUCACUUCAUUAUAGUGGAUCAAACAAUCAGUUGCUUGUCGCUAACACCAAAAACGACAUGGCAUUUUUGUUUAAUUGUAAUUGAAA
rnacentral:lncRNA from 1 species